CAACAUUUCUUCAAAUAAAAAAUAAGAGGCUUGGUGUUUGGGACAAGCUAUUCUGGAUCAUCAUGCUUACUUCUGGACCAAAUCCUGCCUCUGGGUUCCACCUACUAACCAGGUCUAUAUGUGAGUAGGAGCUAGAAGAAGGGAUAGGAAACAUUGGAAGAGAAACAUUGUUUCAAGUGUGUCUUCUGUAGAGCAUACUUCAUUCCAGAUAAUUGGACAACUCUCAACAGGUGUAGGGCUGAGAACAUAAUGGAGCCUACAAUAGAUAUUUGAAGCCAUUCAGACUAGCUAUUUUUCCAGGAAGACAUUUAGCAUCCACAACAGUGAUUUGUAGCAAGGCAGAGUGAAGAAAUUCCCUAAAGAGCUACACCCCUAAGAUCUACACCCCUAAGAUCUCUGCUCUCACUGCCUUCUUGUUGCUACAAAGUGCUUUCAAUUUUACCCAAACAAUCUUAAGUUAUGUGUCAAGUAGUCUACAAACCUGUAAGAACCAUAAUUUCCACAAAACACCUCUCUGGAGUCUAUACAGAAUAAUUGUGCAGUCAUUGA
rnacentral:lncRNA from 1 species